GACGAACGCUGGCGGCGUGCUUAACACAUGCAAGUCGAGCGGUAAGGCCCUUUCGGGGGUACGACGAGCGGCGAACGGGUGAGUAACACGUGGGUGACCUGCCCUCAGCUCUGGGAUAAGCCUGGGAAACCGGGUCUAAUACUGGAUAUGACUCCAUGACGCAUGUUGUGGGGUGGAAANCCUUGUGCGGCUGAGGAUGGGCCCGCGGCCUAUCAGCUUUGUUGGUGGGGGUGACGG
rnacentral:rRNA from 1 species